rnacentral:rRNA from 1 species
AUGGGCCAACCUCAGCUAGCUCCGGUUACAUCAGUAUUAGACAAGGUUUUCGUCUGCACUGAUUGGGAAAAACAGUGUUCCUCCACUUCUUGGCUUAAGGUUGAAACUAGGAUUGGAUCUAAACACACACCUUUGUUCUUCUCUUCCAGGGAAGAUUCCCCUAGGCCACCCCCUAGAUUCUUCUUUGAACUGGGUUGGUUCGAACAUGGGGAGUUUUCCGAUCAGCUCAAGGCCAAAUGGGAGGCCUGGUCUAAUGCAACCACCAUCCACCGUGGUUCUCUGUAUAGCUGGCAAGGUUUCUCGACAAGUUCCGUCAGUUUCUGCGCGGUUUGGGUGCCGAUAGAAGCGGAAACACGCGCCUCCUCAAAGCCGACACCCUUGAUGAGAUUAUUUGGCUUGACGGGCAAGCAGACACAGUUGGCCUUGGCGAAGCGGGCUGGUAACACAAAUACAUUCCAGAGAGCACCAUUAUCAAACUACACAAGGAAAAAGAGAUAUACUGGCAUCGUCAGGGCUUAA